rnacentral:tRNA from 1 species
GCACCUGUAGCUCAGUGGAGAGAGCACCGGACUUCUAAUCCGUAGGUCGCAGGUUCGAAUCCUGCCAGGUGCG